AUACGUAGGUGACAAGCGUUAUCCGGAUUUACUGGGCGUAAAGGGCGCGUAGGCGGGUGGAUAAGUCAGGUGUGAAAGCUCCGGGCUCAACUUGGAAACUGCACUUGAAACUGUCUAUCUUGAGGUCAGGAGAGGAAAGUGGAAUUCCUAGUGUAGCGGUGAAAUGCGUAGAUAUUAGGAGGAACACCAGUGGCGAAGGCGGAUUGCUGGACAGCAACUGACGGUGAGGCGCGAAAGUGUGGGGAGCAAACAGGAUUAGAUACCCUGGUAGUCCACACUGUAAACGAUGAAUACUAGGUGUGCGGGGACUGACCCCCUGCGUGCCGGCGUUAACACAAUAAGUAUUCCACCUGGGGAGUACGAUCGCAAGGUUGAAACUCAAAGGAAUUGACGGGG
rnacentral:rRNA from 1 species